rnacentral:sRNA from 1 species
GUCAUAUACACGAUUUUUCACAAAGUUUG